rnacentral:rRNA from 1 species
AACGAACGCUGGCGGCGCGCCUAAUACAUGCAAGUCGAGCGAGAAGACGUAGCAAUACGUUUGUAAAGCGGCGAACGGGUGAGGAAUACAUGGGUAACCUACCCUCGAGUGGGGAAUAACCAGCCGAAAGGUUAGCUAAUACCGCGUACGCUCCUUGGACUUCGGUUCAGGGAGGAAAGCGAUACCGUGGGUAUCGCGCUCUUGGAUGGGCUCAUGUCCUAUCAGCUUGUUGGUGAGGUAACGGCUCACCAAGGCUUCGACGGGUAGCUGGUCUGAGAGGACGAUCAGCCACACUGGCACUGCGACACGGGCCAGACUCCUACGGGAGGCAGCAGUAAGGAAUAUUGCGCAAUGGGCGAAAGCCUGACGCAGCGACGCCGCGUGGGGGAUGAAGGU